rnacentral:tRNA from 2 species
GGAGAGGUGACAGAGCGGCCGAAUGUGCCGGUCUCGAAAACCGGUGUACCGGCAACGGUACCGAGGGUUCGAAUCCCUCCCUCUCCGC